rnacentral:rRNA from 1 species
CCUACGGGUGGCAGCAGUAGGGAAUCUUCCACAAUGGGCGAAAGCCUGAUGGAGCAACGCCGCGUGGGUGAAGAAGGUCUUCGGAUCGUAAGACCCUGUUGUUAGAUAAGAAAGUGCGUGAGAGUAACUGUUCACGUUUCGACGGUAUCUAACCAGAAAGCCACGGCUAACUACGUGCCAGCAGCGGCGGUAAUACGUAGGUGGCAAGUGUUAUCCGGAUUGAUUGGGCGUAAAGGGAGCGCAGGCGGUCUUUUAAGUCUGAUGUGAAAGCCUUCGGCUUAACCGGAGUAGUGCAUUGGAAGCUGGGAGAAUUGAGUGCAGAAGAGGGGAGUGGAACUCCAUGUGUAGCGGUGAAAUGCGUAGAUAUAUGGAAGAACACCAGUGGCGAAGGCGGCUCUCUGGUCUGUAACUGACGCUGAGGUUCGAAAGCGUGGGUAGCAAACAGGAUUAGAUACCCGAGUAGUC